GAUGAACGCUGGCGGCGUGCCUAAUACAUGCAAGUCGAGCGAACGGACGAGAAGCUUGCUUCUCUGAUGUUAGCGGCGGACGGGUGAGUAACACGUGGAUCACCUCCCUAUAAGACUGGGAUCACUUCGUGAAACCGGAGCUAAUACCGUAUAAUAUUUUGAACCGCAUGGUUCAAAAGUGAAAGACGGUCUUGCUGUCACUUAUAGAUGGAUCCGCGCUGCAUUAGCUAGUUGGUAAGGUAACGGCUUACCAAGGCGACGAUGCAUAGCCGACCUGAGAGGGUGAUCGGCCACACUGGAACUGAGACACGGUCCAGACUCCUACGGGAGGCAGCAGUAGGGAAUCUUCCGCAAUGGGCGAAAGCCUGACGGAGCAACGCCGCGUGAGUGAUGAAGGUCUUCGGAUCGUAAAACUCUGUUAUUAGGGAAGAACAUAUGUGUAAGUAACUGUGCACAUCUUGACGGUACCUAAUCAGAAAGCCACGGCUAACUACGUG
rnacentral:rRNA from 1 species